UACGAAGGGGGCUAGCGUUGCUCGGAAUUACUGGGCAUAAAGGGCCAGUAGGCGGCCAACUAAGUCGGAUGUGAAAUCCCCAGGCUUAACCUGGGAACUGCAUCCGAUACUGGAUGGCUUGAAUUCGGGAGAGGGAUGCAGAAUUCCAGGUGUAGCGGUGAAAUGCGUAGAUAUCUGGAGGAAUACCGGUGGCGAAGGCGGCAUCCUGGACCGACAUUGACGCUGAACGGCGAAAGCUAGGGGAGCAAACGGG
rnacentral:rRNA from 1 species